UUUAUGGAGAGUUUGAUCCUGGCUCAGAGUGAACGCUGGCGGCGUGCCUAAUACAUGCAAGUCGAACGAUGAAGCUUCUAGCUUGCUAGAAUGCUGAUUAGUGGCGCACGGGUGAGUAACGCAUAGGUCAUGUGCCUCUUAGUUUGGGAUAGCCAUUGGAAACGAUGAUUAAUACCAGAUACUCCCUACGGGGGAAAGAUUUAUCGCUAAGAGAUCAGCCUAUGUCCUAUCAGCUUGUUGGUAAGGUAAUGGCUUACCAAGGCUAUGACGGGUAUCCGGCCUGAGAGGGUGAACGGACACACUGGAACUGAGACACGGUCCAGACUCCUACGGGAGGCAGCAGUAGGGAAUAUUGCUCAAUGGGGGAAACCCUGAAGCAGCAACGCCGCGUGGAGGAUGAAGGUUUUAGGAUUGUAAACUCCUUUUGUUAGAGAAGAUAAUGACGGUAUCUAACGAAUAAGCACCGGCUAACUCCGUGCCAGCAGCCGCGGUAAUACGGAGGGUGCAAGCGUUACUCGGAAUCACUGGGCGUAAAGAGCGCGUAGGCGGGAUAGUCAGUCAGGUGUGAAAUCCUAUGGCUUAACCAUAGAACUGCAUUUGAAACUACUAUUCUAGAGUGUGGGAGAGGUAGGUGGAAUUCUUGGUGUAGGGGUAAAAUCCGUAGAGAUCAAGAGGAAUACUCAUUGCGAAGGCGACCUGCUGGAACAUUACUGACGCUGAUUGCGCGAAAGCGUGGGGAGCAAACAGGAUUAGAUACCCUGGUAGUCCACGCCCUAAACGAUGGAUGCUAGUUGUUGGAGGGCUUAGUCUCUCCAGUAAUGCAGCUAACGCAUUAAGCAUCCCGCCUGGGGAGUACGGUCGCAAGAUUAAAACUCAAAGGAAUAGACGGGGACCCGCACAAGCGGUGGAGCAUGUGGUUUAAUUCGAAGAUACACGAAGAACCUUACCUAGGCUUGACAUUGAGAGAAUCCGCUAGAAAUAGUGGAGUGUCUAGCUUGCUAGACCUUGAAAACAGGUGCUGCACGGCUGUCGUCAGCUCGUGUCGUGAGAUGUUGGGUUAAGUCCCGCAACGAGCGCAACCCCCUUUCUUAGUUGCUAACAGGUUAUGCUGAGAACUCUAAGGAUACUGCCUCCGUAAGGAGGAGGAAGGUGGGGACGACGUCAAGUCAUCAUGGCCCUUACGCCUAGGGCUACACACGUGCUACAAUGGGGUGCACAAAGAGAAGCAAUACUGCGAAGUGGAGCCAAUCUUCAAAACAUCUCUCAGUUCGGAUUGUAGGCUGCAACUCGCCUGCAUGAAGCUGGAAUCGCUAGUAAUCGCAAAUCAGCCAUGUUGCGGUGAAUACGUUCCCGGGUCUUGUACUCACCGCCCGUCACACCAUGGGAGUUGUGUUUGCCUUAAGUCAGGAUGCUAAAUUGGCUACUGCCCACGGCACACACAGCGACUGGGGUGAAGUCGUAACAAGGUAACCGUAGGUGAACCUGCGGUUGGAUCACCUCCUUUCUAGA
rnacentral:rRNA from 1 species